UACGUAGGGGGCAAGCGUUGUCCAGAUUUAUUGGGCGUAAAGAGCGUGUAGGCGGCCAGGUAGGUCGGUUGUGAAAACUGGAGGCUUAACCUUCAGACGUCGACCGAAACCAUCUGGCUAGAGUCCGGAAGAGGAGAGUGGAAUUCCUGGUGUAGCGGUGGAAUGCGCAGAUAUCAGGAAGAACACCCGUGGCGAAAGCGGCUCUCUGGGACGGUACUGACGCUGAGACGCGAAAGCGUGGGGAGCGAACAGG
rnacentral:rRNA from 1 species